CACCACUAGCAGAUGAAGCUGCCAGCAUGAUCUCAGCUUGACUUUCUGAUCUUUUUUUUAUCAUCAGCUUCAAGGAAAGAUCAGAUCAUGUUGGUAGCUUCAUCUAUUGAUGGG
rnacentral:pre_miRNA from 1 species